CUAACAAGGAUUCCCCUAGUAACGGCGAGUGAAGCGGGAAGAGCUCAAAUUUGUAAUCUGGCGGUCUCAGGCCGUCCGAGUUGUAGUCUGGAGAAGCGUCUUCCGUGCCGGACYGUGUACAAGUCCCUUGGAACAGGGCCUCAUAGAGGGUGAGAAUCCCGUCUUUGACACGGACUGCCGGUGCUCUGUGAUGCGCUCUCGAAGAGUCGAGUUGUUUGGGAAUGCAGCUCAAAAUGGGUGGUAAAUUCCAUCUAAAGCUAAAUAUUGGCGAAAGACCGAUAGCGAACAAGUACCGUGAGGGAAAGAUGAAAAGCACUUUGGAAAGAGAGUUAAACAGUACGUGAAAUUGUUGAAAGGGAAACGCUUGAAGUCAGUCGCGUCUUCUGGGACUCAGUCGGACACUCGUGUCUGAUGUACUUCCCAGUGUGACGGGCCAGCAUUGAUUUCGAUCGUCGGAGAAAGGCUCUGGGAAUGUGGCACCUUCGGGUGUGUUAUAGCCCUGGGUCGUAUGCGACGGUCGGGAUCGAGGAUCGCAGCACGCCUUCAUUGGCCAGGGUUCGCCCACGCAACGUGCUUAGGAUGCUGGCGUAAUGGCUUUAAGCGACCCGUCUU
rnacentral:rRNA from 1 species